UAAAAUACAGAAAAUAAACAGCUAUCAGAUGCAUGGUUUCGUAAGUGGAUCUGAUACCAAUGAAGGAGAAGGGCGAUCCAAAACGCAGCGAAAUUAAAAAAAAAUCUUCUUUAGUGAUCCUUACGAAUGGGCAUGAUCAGUGAUAGAAUCGUUACCUCUUAUGGCGAUUGAAACCUUUGAUGCAGAUUUACGGAGCGAUCACGAAUGGUGAAUGGUAACAACACCUCUACUCAGUCCACACGAACGGAUUCCUUCAAUCUCCACAUCAGUAGAU
rnacentral:lncRNA from 1 species